GACGAACGCUGGCGGCGUGCCUAAUACAUGCAAGUUGAGCGCUGAAGGUUGGUACUUGUACCAACUGGAUGAGCAGCGAACGGGUGAGUAACGCGUGGGGAAUCUGCCUUUGAGCGGGGGACAACAUUUGGAAACGAAUGCUAAUACCGCAUAAAAACUUUAAACACAAGUUUUAAGUUUGAAAGAUGCAAUUGCAUCACUCAAAGAUGAUCCCGCGUUGUAUUAGCUAGUUGGUGAGGUAAAGGCUCACCAAGGCGAUGAUACAUAGCCGACCUGAGAGGGUGAUCGGCCACAGUGGGACUGAGACACGGCCCAAACGCCUACGGGAGGCAGCAGUAGGGAAUCUUCGGCAAUGGACGAAAGUCUGACCGAGCAACGCCGCGGGAGUGAAGAAGGUUUUCGGAUCGUAAAACUCUGUUGGUAGAGAAGAACGUUGGUGAGAGUGGAAAGCUCAGCAAGUGACGGUAACUACCCAGAAAGGGACGGCUAACUACGUG
rnacentral:rRNA from 1 species